GUCUACGGCCACACCACCCUGAACGCGCCCGAUCUCGUCUGAUCUCGGAAGCUAAGUAACCAAUGAUACAAACAAAGAGCAGAACAUUCUGUAGCCC
ensembl:rRNA 5S_rRNA 5S ribosomal RNA